rnacentral:lncRNA from 1 species
UUUAUGGGGCUGGGGGGCACUUUUGGGCUGGGGCAAUUAUGGGGUGGGAGCACUUGUGGGGAUGGGGGGCAUUUGUAGAGUGGGAACACUUAUGGGUCUGUGGGGGCACUCUUGGGGUUGGUGGGGUACUUAUGGGGCUGUGAGCACUUCUGGGGCAGGUCCCCCCCGAGGAGCCCGCCCUGCCGCCCAUUCCGGAGUUCCGGUGCGUCGCCGCAUCCCCGUCGUCGCCUCCCACCCCUCAUGGACCUCGUGCCCCACAUCUCCCCCAAGCUGUUCCGGGCACAGCUGCUCCAGCCCCAAGCCCACUGUCAGCCCCUGGUGCUGCUGGAGCCGCCCCACAGGUUCCGCCGCCCCCCAAGUGAGCUCCUGAACGCCCCCACCCACGAUUGGCUGCCCCCUGAGCUGUGGGAGCUGUGGGGACGCUGUGCCCAGCGCCCUGCCCCGCCUGCGGCCCCGCCCCCAGAGCUGCCCAGCGACUUGGAGGUGAGGCCCCGUAGAUCCCAAUCCUGCCCCAUAGAUCUACCCCAUAGACCCCAAUCCCGCCCCAUAGACCCACUACCCCACACCCCUGUCCCUCUCCAGGUGCUUCGGGAGGCCCUGGAGCCGAGUCUGCCCACCCUGAUCUCAGAAGUGUCCCUGGAGCCCCUCGAGGAGGAGCCGCUGGAGAGACUGUGAGUGGGGGCGUGGCUGGGCAGGGGUGUGGCAAAGGGCAGGGAGGUCACCAGCAGCCAAUUAAUGCUCGGCAGGGCCUGGGAAAGGGGCGG